rnacentral:rRNA from 1 species
UUCUUUUAGAAUAAAUUAAAAGUAUCUUCUGCUCCAUGAAUUUUAAAUAGCCGCAGUAUUCUGUGCUAAGGUAGCAUAAUCAAUUGUUUAUUAAUUGUAAACUUGUAUGAAAGAAGGAAUAAUGUAUAAUUUUAUUUUUCUUAAAUUGAUGAAUUUAGAAUUUUGGUAAAGAUACCAAAUAAAGAUAUAGGGACAAGAAGACCCUAUAAAGCUUUACAAUAAUAUUAAAUCUAAUUUAAUCAUUUGUUUUAUUGGGGCAAUAAAUUAUUUCUAAGCAAUAUAAUUAAAAUAUAAAAUUAAUAUUCAUUUUAGAUCCAUUUUUAAUGAUUAAUUAAACAAGUUACUUUAGGGAUAACAGGAUAAUUUUUAUUAUGAAGUACAAAUUUAUAAUGAAGAUUGUUACCUCGAUGUUGGAUUAAUUAAUUUAAAUAAUGAAGAAGUUAUUAGAAUUUGGCUGUUCGCCAAUUAAAAAAUUACA